UACACUGAAGCAAUACAGACGGAAGUCUUGUGUUCAAAUCACAUCAAUGUUAUCUCGUUCACUAAAAGGAUGCCUUGAGUGACAACCGACGCCGAUACAGCUUUCGAUUGGCAAAGUUAAAAAUGCAGACACUACGCCAUCUACUCCGCUAUUAUACGAACAUAUUGGUACGAAGCUGUCUCCGUGUACCGCAGAUAAAUUUUCGAUAUGACGUCACCCUACAAAUGACGUCACUCAGCUGGUUCUAUAAGCAAACAAUAAUAAAGAGUGUUACGGAAAACGAAAAAAAUACUAGAGAAAGGAAAGACGAAGAAAAGAAGUUAAGACGAAACGCAAAGGAACGAAGAUGGAGCCAUAGCAUACACAGACUAGGAUUUAUUCUUAGUCGAUGUAAAUACUAACUUAUGUGAGCUGUAGCAUAAAAUGUCCCUUAUACUUAUUGAAUGCUUGUUUAAAAUUGAAUGUUUAUGUGAUACACGGUGUGUGGUGUGGGGUGGGGAAGUAUACGUAGAUCAAACGAUUAAUUAAAUCCACCUUUGUACACGUUAGUAAUGUAACGUGGUUGGGAAUCUUGGGUUUUAUUUCUCCAUGUGUGUUAGUAUGUGUGUGUAAACAACCUGCAUAAGAACGGUGCGCGCAGGUCAGA